rnacentral:misc_RNA from 1 species
CAUGCAAGGGACGGAUAGACAGUAUAAUAACAACCGGAAAUUCACGUCGAUCAGCUAGUCACUGCCUUUGCAGGGUAAUCGAACGGCAGUGGCUGCACGUCGUCACUGAGCGAACUGGCGUGCCGGAAACCGUACGCCCUCAGCACCUGGUCGUCGGCGAAGUUGAGCGCGCGGCGCAUGCCCUGGUCGCAGCUGUCCCCGGAGUAGUGCUCGUUGCGCUGCCCACUGCACGGCUGACACCCCGUGAAGUGCGUCACGAACGGGCGGCGCCACCCGUGCACCCCGGUCUCCGCCAGCCCGGCCCCGCCCAGGGCGGCGUUCCUUGCCACCGCGUACUCCGCGUGCUCCCUCUCCGCGUGCCGCCUCCGCAGCGCGGCAGCUCCCGGCCGCCGCUCCAUCGCCUCGUACCUCUCCGUCAUGUUGGCGAGCCGCCCCACGAUCUCCAUCCAGUAGCCCUCGAAGUAGUAGCCGCUCUCCAGGAACACCUUGUCCCGCCACCGGCUGCCCUCCUGCAGCAGCAUGUACACGAGCGCGGACUGGUCGUCCGACUCGUCGAACACCUUGUCCUUGAACGUGGACUUGAGCACGGCGCCCCAGUGCUGGUAGUCCGGGGAGUCGGGACCCAUGGCGGCCCACGCGUCCAUGAAGUCGAGCGACCACUGGCAGUUCCGGAUGAGGAACACGCCGGCGUUGAGGCUGGUCCAGGAGCUGGCCUCGAACACGAGGCUCGGCCAGCCGUGGACGACGAGGUUGUGGGCGCGGUACCGGCGCAGCGGGAGGCGGAAGUCCAUGUCGGUGAGCACGGCGUCGGAGUCGACCCACCACACCCACUCCGCCUCCGGGUGCGCCACCAUGGCGGCGCGGAUCACCGGUAUCUUGGCCCAGUACCGGUCCAUCGACGGCCGCAGCAGCGCCAUGUUGUACAGCAGCUGCACGCCGUGGAGACGGCAGUAGUCGGCCUUGUUCUUGAGCAGCCGCAUCAGCGUGUGGUCUCCGCCCGGGGACCGGCACGGCGUCGGCUGCGAGCCGGACACCAUGAGGACGCGCCCCUUCUCGCCACCGCCGGCGAACUCCGGGUGCGCGCGCAGCCACCCGGCGCGCUUCUCGUCCCACCCCGUGAUGGGCCGGUCCACGGUGUACGCCAGCGCCGGGUCGUCGUAGAACGUGUGGGCGGCGGCACCACCACCACCGCCGGCGGCGCCCACGGAUGAUGAGCCAGAGCCAGAGCCAGAGGACGGGACUGCUCCGUCGCCGUAGUAGCCCUCCGGCUGAGCGAACGGGUUGGCGAACGCGAGCAGCGCCACGGUGGCCACCACGGCACCCGCGGCGAAGAGGAGCGCGUCUCCGAGCCACGACGGCUUCGCGGUCGCAGCGCGUGGCGGCAUCGUGUGCUCUCGGCUCUCGCUGCCGGGAUGCACUACGGCUCUACGGCAGUAUCGUCCCUGUCACGCUCACGCCACGUACAAUACUGACGCCCCGAUGCGUG